rnacentral:rRNA from 1 species
UACGAAGGGUGCAAGCGUUACUCGGAAUUACUGGGCGUAAAGGGUGCGUAGGCGGUUCGUUAAGUCUGUCGUGAAAUCCCCGGGCUCAACCUGGGAAUGGCGAUGGAUACUGGCGAGCUAGAGUGUGUCAGAGGAUGGUGGAAUUCCCGGUGUAGCGGUGAAAUGCGUAGAGAUCGGGAGGAACACCAGCGGCGAAGGCGGCAACCUGGACAAGCACUGACACUCAACUGCGAAAGCGUGGGGAGCAAACAGG